AGGGCUGGGAUUGAACCCGGGUCCUCAGAACUGGGAGGCCAACGUUUUCCAGCUGCUGCACCAUAUAGAUCAUUUUUUAAGCAAUUAAAUCCACAAAUGUAUUCAGUAAAUGUAUAUUUUAUUUCAUUUAUAUAUAUAGUCAUUGCUUCAUCUUGUUAUCGGAUCGUUUGCUCCAAUUCUUAGGAUAAAAUCAACACAGGCACGAGGAGAACGUGCAAACGCUACACUGGCAAGGAAUGGAUUUGAACCCCAGCCCUCAGAACUGUGUGGCAGACGCGCCAAACGGUCGUCCACCGCGCCGCCAGACUACGAUAAAAAAUAAUAACAGAAAUGAAUGACUCGACAAUCGAGAAUAUUUCAUUCUUAGACAAAGCCUGGUCGUCGUGUGAAAAUGUGUGCAAAAAGCACAGCUGAGUUCGACGAAGAACUGUGGGGCCCAAAGGAGGAGAAGAAGCCACAACGUCAACUAUUGGACGCUGUGUUCAAUCUGCAGCCCCGAAUUGUGCUUCGCAGAGCAGAUGUCAUUGAAUAUCUUCAUCCAGAGCAUCACCAGUCAGUGUACGGUCACAUCAAAGAAGAAGAGGAGGGUGAAGGGGUUCAGUGCAUUAAAGUGGAGGAAGAAAUCGUCCACGUGAAAGAGGAAAAGCAGGAGGAAAGCGUCCAGGCUCCAGUCACUGGUGUCCAUUUGAAGAGUCUUCUUCUUUUCCUUUCGGCUUGUCCCGUUAGGGGUCGCCACAGCGUGUCAUCUUUUGCCAUCUUAGCCUAUCUCCUGCAUCUUCCUCUCUAACCCCAACUGCCCUCAUGUCUUCCCUCACCACAUCCAUAAACCUUCUCUUUGGUCUUCCUCUCGCUCUUUUGCCUGGGAGCUCCAUCCUCAGCAUCCUUCUACCAAUAUACUCACUCUCUCGCCUCUGAACAUGUCCAAACCAUCGAAGUCUGCUCUCUCGAAUCUUGUC